rnacentral:rRNA from 1 species
GUCUAUGGUCAUACCUGAAUGUUCCUGAUCUCAUCUGAUCUCCCAAGCUAAGCAGGGUCAGUACUUGGAUGGGGGAUUAAUCAUCAGGUC